rnacentral:rRNA from 1 species
GCGGCCUAUCAGCUUGUUGGAGGGAUAACGGCCCACCAAGGCGACGACGGGUAGCCGGCCUGAGAGGGCGACCGGCCACACUGGGACUGAGACACGGCCCAGACUCCUACGGGAGGCAGCAGUAGGGAAUAUUGGGCAAUGGGCGAAAGCCUGACCCAGCGACGCCGCGUGAGGGAUGAAGGUCUUCGGAUUGUAAACCUCUUUCAGUAGGGAAGAAGCGAAAGUGACGGUACCUAAAGAAGAAGCACCGGCUAACUAUGUGCCAGCAGCCGCGGUAAUACAUAGGGUGCAAGCGUUGUCCGGAAUUAUUGGGCGUAAAGAGCUCGUAGGUCGUUUGUCGCGUCGAUUGUGAAAAUCUGAGGCUCAACCUCAGACCUGCAGUCGAUACGGGCAAACUAGAGUGUGGUAGGGGAGACUGGAAUUCCU